UUGUUUCAGUGGCCACAGGUGGUGCGUUCCAGCUGCCUCAGUGGUCCCGAGACCAGGACAGCACAAUUACUCUAAAUUGUCCUGACAACUCAGUGGUCGGGAGACCCGAGGGCUCUAGAUAAUGUGUUUCUAUCAACUCAGUGAUCCGGAGACCCAAAACUGUAAUUUAGAUAACAUGCCUAAGUUUAACCCAGUGACCCCGAGACCCGAAACUGUAAUUAACAUGCUUAAUUCUGCUUCUGUAAUCUGCUUUUUUGGGAGCCAGGUGCCACAUUCCAAACCCUGGGAUGUAAUCAAUACCUUUGUGAUUUUUGCCUAUAUAAGUCUGGUUUUGCCACCAUCUUAUUGCUAUGAGAUUUGGGAAUGGCCCCUCAUAGUCCCGGAUUGCAAUAAAUGUGACUCUUUAAUUCGA